AGCUCCAAUAGCGUAUAUUAAAGUUGUUGCAGUUAAAAAGCUCGUAGUUGAACUUCUGUUCGAUUGUCUCCGCUUUUAGCGUGACGAUAAAUUGAACAUCCCCUUUGAAAACCUGGCACCGUCUUAAGUGACGGGUUAGGGUUUCUUGGAAUUUACUUUGAAAAAUUAGAGUGUUUCAAGCAGGCGAUUCGCUGGAAUACAUUAGCAUGGAAUAAUAGAAGAUGACCUCUGAGAUCAUUUUGUUGGUACAUUGGCGGGAGGUAAUGAUUAACAGGGACAGUUGGGGGCAUUAGUAUUUAAUUGUCAGAGGUGAAAUUCAUUGAUUAAUUAAAGACUAACUUAUGCGAAAGCAUUUGCCAAGGAUGUUUUCA
rnacentral:rRNA from 1 species